rnacentral:rRNA from 1 species
GAUGAACGCUGGCGGCGUGCCUAACACAUGCAAGUCGAACGGACGGACUCGAUAGCUUGCUAUUGGGAAAGUUAGUGGCAAACGGGUGAGUAACGCGUAGGCAACCUGCCCUUCAGAUGGGGACAACACUUCGAAAGAGGUGCUAAUACCGAAUGACGUAUCCAUUCCGCAUGGAAAGGAUACCCAAAGGCCGGGCAACCGGUCACUGAAGGAUGGGCCUGCGUCUGAUUAGCUAGUUGUGGGGUAACGGCUCACCAAGGCGACGAUCAGUAGCCGGUCUGAGAGGAUGAACGGCCACAUUGGGACUGAGACACGGUCCAGAC